CGGGAUUAGCAGGCCUCCCGUNAGACGUUGCCGUCCAAGCACGUGC
rnacentral:ncRNA from 1 species